rnacentral:rRNA from 1 species
UACGAGGGGGGCAAGCGUUGUUCGGAAUUAUUGGGCGUAAAGGGCGCGUAGGCGGUGCGGUAAGUCACCUGUGAAACCUCUAGGCUUAACCUAGAGCCUGCAGGCGAAACUGCCGUGCUGGAGUGUGGGAGAGGUGCGUGGAAUUCCCGGUGUAGCGGUGAAAUGCGUAGAUAUCUGGAGGAAUACCGGUGGCGAAGGCGGCAUCCUGGACCGAGAUUGACGCUGAGGAGCGAAAGCUAGGGGAGCAAACGGG